GGGGGUAUAGCUCAGUGCAUAGAGCACAUGCUUAGCACGCACAAGGUCCCAGGUUCAAUCCCCAGUACCUCCA
rnacentral:tRNA from 1 species